GACGAACGCUGGCGGCGCGCUUAACACAUGCAAGUCGAGCGAAGCGGCGGACGGGUGAGUAACACGUGAGUAACCUGCCUUAUACAUUGGGAUGGCCUCGGGAAACCGGGAUUAAUACCAAAUGGUCUAAGAUGGACUCGGGUCCCAUUAGCUAGUUGGUGGGGUAACGGCCCACCAAGGCGACGAUGGGUAGCCGGCCUGGGAGGGUGAACGGCCACAUUGGAACUGAGAAACGGUUCAAACUCUACGGGAGGCAGCAGUGGGGAAUAUUGCAAAAUGGAGGGAAGUCUGAUGGAGCUACGCCGCGUGAACGAAGAAGGCUUUCGAGUCGUAAAGUUCUUUUAUAUGGGAAGCGGUACCAUAAGAAAAAGCCCCGGCUAACUACGUGCCAGCAGCCGCGGUAAUAC
rnacentral:rRNA from 1 species